ensembl:misc_RNA Metazoa_SRP Metazoan signal recognition particle RNA
GCCAGGGAUGGUGGUGCAUGCCUGUAGUCCCAGGUACUCGGGAGGCUGAGGCAGGAGAAUUGCUUGAACCCAGGAGGUGGAGGUUACAGUGAGCUGAGAUUAUGCCACUGUACUCCGGCCUGGGUGACAGAGCAAGAUUCUGUCUCAU